ensembl:Y_RNA Y_RNA Y RNA
GGCUGGUCUGGGUGCAGUGUUGUUACACUAACUGAUCACAACCCGCUACAGAUAUCUUUGUUCCUUUUUCACUCCCACUGCUUCACUUGACUAGCAAAA